rnacentral:rRNA from 1 species
GGGGAAUUUUCCGCAAUGGGCGAAAGCCUGACGGAGCAAUACCGCGUGAGGGAGGAAGGCUCUUGGGUUGUAAACCUCUUUUCUCAGGGAAUAAGAACUGAAGGUACCUGAGGAAUCAGCAUCGGCUAACUCCGUGCCAGCAGCCGCGGUAAUACGGAGGAUGCAAGCGUUAUCCGGAAUGAUUGGGCGUAAAGCGUCCGCAGGUGGUUUAUCAAGUCUGCUGUCAAAGAGUUUGGCUCAACCAAAUAAAGGCAGUGGAAACUGACAGACUGGAGUGCGGUAAGGGCAGAGGGAAUCCCUGGUGUAGCGGUGAAAUGCGUAGAGAUCAGGAAGAACACCGGUGGCGAAAGCGCUCUGCUGGGCCGUAACUGACACUGAGGGACGAAAGCUAGGGGAGCGAAUGGGAUUAGAUACCCCAGUAGUCA